rnacentral:rRNA from 1 species
AACGAACGCUGGCGGCAGGCCUAACACAUGCAAGUCGAGCGCCCCGCAAGGGGAGCGGCGGACGGGUGAGUAACGCGUGGGAACGUGCCCUCUUCUACGGAAUAGCCUCGGGAAACUGGGAGUAAUACCGUAUACGCCCUUAGGGGGAAAGAUUUAUCGGAGGAGGAUCGGCCCGCGUUGGAUUAGGUAGUUGGUGGGGUAAUGGCCUACCAAGCCGACGAUCCAUAGCUGGUUUGAGAGGAUGAUCAGCCACACUGGGACUGAGACACGGCCCAGACUCCUACGGGAGGCAGCAGUGGGGAAUCUAGACAAUGGGCGCAAGCCUGAUCUAGCCAUGCCGCGUGAGCGAUGAAGGCCUUAGGGUUGUAAAGCUCUUUCAGGGGGGAAGAUAAUGACUGUACCCCCAGAAGAAGCCCCGGCUAACUCCGUG